rnacentral:rRNA from 1 species
GGUUCUCCCCGAAAGCUAUUUAGGUAGCGCCUCGUGAAUUCAUCUCCGGGGGUAGAGCACUGUUUCGGCUAGGGGGCCAUCCCGGCUUACCAACCCGAUGCAAACUGCGAAUACCGGAGAAUGUUAUCACGGGAGACACACGGCGGGUGCUAACGUCCGUCGUGAAGAGGGAAACAACCCAGACCGCCAGCUAAGGUCCCAAAGUCAUGGUUAAGUGGGAAACGAUGUGGGAAGGCCCAGACAGCCAGGAUGUUGGCUUAGAAGCAGCCAUCAUUUAAAGAAAGCGUAAUAGCUCACUGGUCGAGUCGGCCUGCGCGGAAGAUGUAACGGGGCUAAACCAUGCACCGAAGCUGCGGCAGCGAACGUAUCACCCAAGACAACUUUGCGGAGUUGACGAUUGACGGAGCGAAGCGACGUCAAAGCGUUCAUUAAAGUCGAGUUGGCUUAGGGAUACGUUCGUU